AGUAAGCAUCCCCAUUGGUUGAACUACAGAUCUUUUAAGUAAGGAAGAAAAAUCGCAAGAUUUUCAUGGAACAGUUUCUGCAAACAAAACAUAGGACUGACCACAGAUGAAAGAUUACUGUUCUCCACAGACGCACUUGUUAGAUGAAACGAAGUUGCAGGAACAAACGGAUCCCCAAAAUUCAGGGGAUUUUUAAGGAAAGUUUAUCCUUUCACAUAACAGCCCAGGGAAGGCAUUCAGUCAGAGGAAGCUGGCUCCACACAGGCUUUCAAGGAUCCAGGCUGGUGACCGUUCUACUGUCGCAACACACAACUUUCAAGGCCGCUGUCAGCAUCGCCCCUCCAGUCAGCGGGAGGGGAGGGCGUGAGGGGCAUGAGGGAAGGUGUGUGGGCCAGAUGUGAAAGUGGUACACAUCGCCCCCCUCAGAGUCCGCAUCACAUGACCACACCCAACUGCAAGAGAAGCCAGAAAAUACGGUCGGGCUCUGGACCCAGGAAGCGGAGGAGACUGGAUUUAGGUCAACUGCGGGUGAUCUCUGCCAUGAUGAAAUUGUAAAUGAAAUUGUAAUUCUCUAAAUAUGCCCCCCACCACCGAAUAUCUGCCAGUGUCCAUAGUCUCUGGUUAAGUUUGCAUUCCUGGACGGACCCUUACAGGACGCGCCCUGUCAUAGUCCACAAUUUAUGAGUAGAUUAUAUUCCAAAGUUCACUCGUGAGUUUACUAGAAUAUAUUUUCUGAUAGAAGUAUAAGAGGCUAACCCACAACUUCUUACGGAUCUUGUGUAGACAAACACUUUAAGAGGCGUUUGGGGCGCAGUGUAGAAGAAUGAAGUUUCCUCCCCUACUCUUGGGGAAAAGGAACAGCUUGAUGGUAUGAAGCACAUUUUUAUUGAACUCUCCUCACCUUGUUACUGUCCAUUCCUCAGGUGCCUGUCACCUUCAGAUGACACCAAAAUCCCACUCAAGCCUGUCCUAGUGCCCAUUUCCCAAUCAUUGCUGUCACCAAUGCUGCUGUUCUUAUCUGGAGGAGAGGAAACUUGAAGGACACCGCUGCUGUCACAAGAAGGAGUUGGCUUGUUCUACAAGGUCCCCAGAAGUAAAUACAAGACCAAAGGUCAGAAGCUUCAGAGAGACAGACUCUGGUCCAAAAUGAAGGUCUUACUGACAGAGCCGUCCCGCGCUGCCUCUGGAGGGAGCGGAUUCCCC
rnacentral:lncRNA from 1 species